rnacentral:tRNA from 1 species
GUGGGUAUAGCUUAGUGGCAGAGCACAUGCUUAGCAUGCACGAGGUCCUAGGUUCAAUUUCCAGUACCUCCA